UACGGAGGAUCCAAGCGUUAUCCGGAAUUACUGGGCGUAAAGAGUUGCGUAGGUGGCAUAGUAAGCAGGUAGUGAAAGCGUGUGGCUCAACCAUACUCACAUUAUCUGAACUGCUAAGCUAGAAUAUAGAAGAGGUAGCUGGAAUUCCUAGUGUAGGAGUGAAAUCCGUAGAUAUUAGGAGGAACACCAAUGGCGUAGGCAGGCUACUGGUCUAUUAUUGACACUAAGGCACGAAAGCGUGGGGAGCGAACGGG
rnacentral:rRNA from 1 species